rnacentral:rRNA from 1 species
GACGAACGCUGGCGGCGUGCCUAAUACAUGCAAGUUUAGCGCUUAAGGUUGGUACUUGUUGCACCUGGAUGAGCAGCGGACGGGUGAGUAACGCGUGGGGACUCUGUCUUUGAGCGGGGGACAACCUUUUGAAACGAAUGCUAAUACCGCAUAAAAACUUUAAACCCCAUCUAUAAGAUUGAAAGAUGCGAGUGCAUCACUUCAUUACGAUCAAGCGUUUUAUUAGUUAGUUGGUGAGGGAAAUGCUCACCAAGGCGAUGAUACAUAGCCGACCUGAGAGGGUGAUCGGCCACAUUGGGACUGAGACACGGCCCAAACUCCUACGGGAGGCAGCAGUAGGGAAUCUUCGGCAAUGGACGAAAGUCUGACCGAGCAACGCCGCGUGAGGGAAGAAGGUUUUCGGAUCGUAAAACUCUGUUGGUAGAGAAGAACGUUGGUGAGAGUGGAAAGCUCAUCAAGUGACGGUAACUACCCAGAAAGGGACGGCUAACUACGUG